rnacentral:misc_RNA from 1 species
GAUAAACGCAGCGAAAUGCGAUAAGUAAUGUGAAUUGCAGAAUUCAGUGAAUCAUCGAAUCUUUGAACGCACCUUGCGCUCUUUGGUAUUCCGAAGAGCAUGCCUGUUUGAGUGUCAUGAAAAUAUCAACCUUGACUUGGGUUUUGUGCUCUAGUCUCGGCUUGGAAUUGGGUGCUUGCCGCUUUUACGAGCGGCUCACCUUAAAUGUAUUAGCUGGAUCUGUCUUUGAGACUUGGUUUGACUUGGCGUAAUAAGUAUUUCGCUAAGGACAUUCUUCGGAGUGGCCUCGUUUCUAGGACGCUUGUCCGCUUUCCAAUACAAGUUCCACCUCGUGGACAUGACUUUUUAUUAUCUGGCCUCAAAUCAGGUAGGACUACCCGCUGAACUUAAGCAUAUCAAUAAGCGGAGGA